rnacentral:rRNA from 1 species
CAACGAGCGCAACCCUCGUCNUUAGUUGCCAGCAGGUUAAGCUGGGCACUCUAGGGAGACUGCCUUCGUAAGGAGGAGGAAGGUGAGGACGNCNUCAAGUCAUCAUGGUCCCUUACGGCCAGGGCUACACACGUGCUACAAUGGGGCGUGCAGAGUGUUGCGAUACCGCGAGGUGGANCUAAUCANUUAAAGCGUCUNUCAGUUCGGAUUGGAGUCCNCAACUCGACUGCCAUGAAGCUGGAAUCACUAGUAAUCGUAGAUCAGCAAUGCUACGGUGAAUACGUUCCCGGGUCUUGUACUCACCGCCCGUCACGGCCAUGGGAGUUGAUUCNCCUCGAAAUCGGUAAUGCCACUGGCUACCGCUUACGUGCGGAAUUAGCGACUGGGGUGAAGUCGUAUCCAGGUAACC